AGUCGUACGCUUCUUUUUCCACCGGAGCUUGCUCCACCGGAAAAAGAAGAGUGGCGAACGGGUGAGUAACACGUGGGUAACCUGCCCAUCAGAAGGGGAUAACACUUGGAAACAGGUGCUAAUACCGUAUAACAAUCGAAACCGCAUGGUUUUGAUUUGAAAGGCGCUUUCGGGUGUCGCUGAUGGAUGGACCCGCGGUGCAUUAGCUAGUUGGUGAGGUAACGGCUCACCAAGGCCACGAUGCAUAGCCGACCUGAGAGGGUGAUCGGCCACAUUGGGACUGAGACACGGCCCAAACUCCUACGGGAGGCAGCAGUAGGGAAUCUUCGGCAAUGGACGAAAGUCUGACCGAGCAACGCCGCGUGAGUGAAGAAGGUUUUCGGAUCGUAAAACUCUGUUGUUAGAGAAGAACAAGGAUGAGAGUAACUGUUCAUCCCUUGACGGUAUCUAACCAGAAAGCCACGGCUAACUACGUGCCAGCAGCCGCGGUAAUACGUAGGUGGCAAGCGUUGUCCGGAUUUAUUGGGCGUAAAGCGAGCGCAGGCGGUUUCUUAAGUCUGAUGUGAAAGCCCCCGGCUCAACCGGGGAGGGUCAUUGGAAACUGGGAGACUUGAGUGCAGAAGAGGAGAGUGGAAUUCCAUGUGUAGCGGUGAAAUGCGUAGAUAUAUGGAGGAACACCAGUGGCGAAGGCGGCUCUCUGGUCUGUAACUGACGCUGAGGCUCGAAAGCGUGGGGAGCAAACAGGAUUAGAUACCCUGGUAGUCCACGCCGU
rnacentral:rRNA from 1 species